AUAACGGUAGCGUAGGUCGUACCUAGGUAACCGUAGGGUUUUUUCUUGUUUUCUGGCGGACGGGUGAGUAACACGUGGGAACGUGCCUUUAGGUUCGGAAUAGCUCCUGGAAACGGGUGGUAAUGCCGAAUGUGCCCUUCGGGGGAAAGAUUUAUCGCCUUUAGAGCGGCCCGCGUCUGAUUAGCUAGUUGGUGAGGUAACGGCUCACCAAGGCGACGAUCAGUAGCUGGUCUGAGAGGAUGACCAGCCACACUGGGACUGAGACACGGCCCAGACUCCUACGGGAGGCAGCAGUGGGGAAUCUUGCGCAAUGGGCGAAAGCCUGACGCAGCCAUGCCGCGUGAAUGAUGAAGGUCUUAGGAUUGUAAAAUUCUUUCACCGGGGACGAUAAUGACGGUACCCGGAGAAGAAGCCCCGGCUAACUUCGUGCCAGCAGCCGCGGUAAUACGAAGGGGGCUAGCGUUGCUCGGAAUUACUGGGCGUAAAGGGCGCGUAGGCGGAUCGUUAAGUCAGAGGUGAAAUCCCAGGGCUCAGCCCUGGAACUGCCUUUGAUACUGGCGAUCUUGAGUAUGAGAGAGGUAUGUGGAACUCCGAGUGUAGAGGUGAAAUUCGUAGAUAUUCGGAAGAACACCAGUGGCGAAGCGACAUACUGGCUCAUUACUGACGCUGAGGCGCGAAAGCGUGGGGAGCAAC
rnacentral:rRNA from 1 species